ACCGUCCUUAUCUUGGGGUUGCGCGGCUGCUCAAUGAGCGUGUGGCGAGAGCAGCCCUGCUAACGCCUUGAACAACACAAGCGGCGCCCGCUCCGUGCGCGGCGCAAUUUUUGGAACC
ensembl:snRNA